UACGUAGGCAGCGAGCGUUGUUCGGAGUUACUGGGCGUAAAGGGUGUGUAGACGGUUCUCUAAGUUUGGUGUGAAAUCUCCCGGCUCAACCGGGAGGGUGCGCCGAAAACUGGAGGGCUAGAGUGCGGGAAGGGAGAGUAGAAUUCCUGGUGUAGCGGUGAAAUGCGUAGAUAUCAGGAGGAAUACCGGUGGUGUAGACGGCUCUCUGGACCGCGACUGACGCUGAGACACGAAAGCGUGGGUAGCAAACAGG
rnacentral:rRNA from 1 species